rnacentral:misc_RNA from 1 species
CUCUUCUUCUGGUAGGUUUCUUCUCUGGUCUUCUGCGGGACCCCGAUGUUCGCAUUGUUGCUAGUCAUUAACGGCAUCGUUUUGAUACCUGCCAUUGUUGAUCUUGAGAGAAAGAAGAUAAGAAUCGGCGACUUUUAUACAGAUACAAGUUAGGGUUACUGGAAAUGGACCUACAAGAAGAAAAAUUGAAGGUUUCUUGUACGGAUUUCGAAUGAAAAAGAGUGCGGCUUUCUUGGAGGGAUUCUGGUAAAAAGUCACGGUUUUUUUCUGGGUUUUUAGAAAGAGAAAGUUAGGGUUUCUAUAGAGCGAGAAAGACAGAGAGAUGGUGUCUACGGAGUUGCAGAGAUGGUCUCUAAAAAUGAUAAAAAGGGUUUUAUCGUGAAAAUACUCCAAAUCGUGCCUUGUUUGAG